rnacentral:rRNA from 1 species
GAUGAACGCUGGCGGCGUGCCUAAUACAUGCAAGUCGAGCGAACAGACGAGGAGCUUGCUCCUCUGACGUUAGCGGCGGACGGGUGAGUAACACGUGGAUAACCUACCUAUAAGACUGGGAUAACUUCGGGAAACCGGAGCUAAUACCGGAUAAUAUAUUGAACCGCAUGGUUCAAUAGUGAAAGACGGUUUUGCUGUCACUUAUAGAUGGAUCCGCGCCGCAUUAGCUAGUUGGUAAGGUAACGGCUUACCAAGGCAACGAUGCGUAGCCGACCUGAGAGGGUGCUCGGCCACACUGGAACUGAGCCCCGGUCCAGACUCCUACGGGAGGCAGCAGUAGGGAAUCUUCCGCAAAGGGCGAAAGCCUGACGGAGCAACGCCGCGUGAGUGAUGAAGGUCUUCGGAUCGUAAAACUCUGUUAUUAGGGAAGAACAAAUGUGUAAGUAACUAUGCACGUCUUGACGGUACCUAAUCAGAAAGCCACGGCUAACUACGUG